rnacentral:lncRNA from 1 species
AGGCAUCCCUGCACUUCGCAUUUUGAAGGUGGAAGAUAUGGUUACAGAGUUAAGAAAAUGAGUAAAAGUCUACUAAUGUACCUCCACUUCGGGAAGAUUCCAAUUUCAUGACCCAGCCAAGACUCAGCCAAGAAGGCAAUUAAGAUUCCAGAGGGUUUUCAUUGGUCAGUGACUAUUCAGGACUUCUAAAUACAUCAUCAUAUUCCUCUUGAACUACUAGAAUUUCCACUUGCGGAAAAUUG